rnacentral:lncRNA from 1 species
AGGGAACGGCAAUGGCUUAGUGAACACAGCUAUAACCAAAGGGAAGGUACUCGGGCACUCGUUAGCUUCUUCCACCUUCGGUCACCCCGAUAAGGUUAGCAUUCGCGGGCGCUCGGGGUCGCUCUGGAUCCCGGAACCGGAACUAGGCCUAGGGCUGCGAUAGGCAGCGACCUCUUACGGAUCCAUUCUUACGGUUUUCUGCCCUGCCCGCCCCCAACAAGUGCCUCCAUUCUAGUAAGGUCUAGAAUCGACCUUGCUCGAAGGUAAAUGAUGUUGUAAAAGCUGCUGCUGCUGCGUGUCAUCAGGUGGCGGCUGUGAGCCCGGACACCUCAGUGGAGCAGAGCACACAAACGACGCCUCCAAGCAGCUGCUGUUGCUGCUGCUACUGCUGCUACUGCUGCUGCUGCUGUUACUGCUGCUGCAGGUCUUUGGCGUGCGUGGAGCGAGCUGGCGGGUUUCGCCCGGUUUUGGAAUGUGUUAUUAUGGCUGUCAAGUUCUUGGGGUACAGCUGGCGCGAAGCAAGGCAAGCAAGCUUUGGGCAGGGGGCCGGUAUGGUUGCCGCACAGAGCAGGCGGCUC